UACGGAGGGUGCAAGCGUUAUCCGGAUUCACUGGGUUUAAAGGGUGCGUAGGUGGGCAAGUAAGUCAGUGGUGAAAUCUCCGGGCUUAACCCGGAAACUGCCAUUGAUACUAUUUGUCUUGAAUACUGUGGAGGUCAGCGGAAUAUGUCAUGUAGCGGUGAAAUGCUUAGAUAUGACAUAGAACACCGAUUGCGAAGGCAGCUCACUACACGAAUAUUGACUCUGAGGCACGAAAGCGUGGGGAUCAAACAGG
rnacentral:rRNA from 1 species